ACAAGGGCAGAGAGGAGUAUAGGAGAGACAGACAGACAGUGGCCGGCCACACAACAAAGAGGAAGAUACAACAAGGAUCUGAACACGUUAUUACUUCAGGCAUACAAAAGUCAAAUGUGACAUAAAGAUUAGCAAGAAUCAACCCUCUGUGUAGGAUGACCUGAGUGCCAAAAGUAGGCAACACAGAGUUAGAGUUUGUCCUAUCAACUACUGCAAACAUUGAAUAAUGCGGCUGUAUGACAACAGGUACCACCGGAAGCAUCAAGACCUAUAGCCAGUUAGAUAACAAGGACCACUGAAAAGGUUUGGUUUUGUAUUAAAAACCAAACAUGAGGUGAGAUGAAUUGUUUCUUUAGCUUUUAUUUUUAUGCAAAAUACCCUCCUUCCCCCUUUUUUAUUACUAACAUUUGCACUUUCUCUUUUGUAAUUGUCUCUCUU